AUGAACGCUGGCGGCGUGCCUAAUACAUGCAAGUCGAGCGAACGGACGAGAAGCUUGCUUCUCUGAUGUUAGCGGCGGACGGGUGAGUAACACGUGGAUAACCUACCUAUAAGACUGGGAUAACUUCGGGAAACCGGAGCUAAUACCGGAUAAUAUUUUGAACCGCAUGGUUCAAAAGUGAAAGACGGUCUUGCUGUCACUUAUAGAUGGAUCCGCGCUGCAUUAGCUAGUUGGUAAGGUAACGGCUUACCAAGGCAACGAUGCAUAGCCGACCUGAGAGGGUGAUCGGCCACACUGGAACUGAGACACGGUCCAGACUCCUACGGGAGGCAGCAGUAGGGAAUCUUCCGCAAUGGGCGAAAGCCUGACGGAGCAACACCGCGUGAGUGAUGAAGGUCUUCGGAUCGUAAAACUCUGUUAUUAGGGAAGAACAUAUGUGUAAGUAACUGUGCACAUCUUGACGGUACCUAAUCAGAAAGCCACGGCUAACUACGUG
rnacentral:rRNA from 1 species